rnacentral:pre_miRNA from 1 species
UUUGUACUCCCUCCGUCCCAAAAUUCUUGUCUUAAAUUUUUCUAAAUACGGAUGUAUCUAGUUAUAUUUUAGUGUUAGAUACAUCCGUAUCUAAACAAAUGUAAGACAAGAAUUUUGGGACGGAGGGAAUACUAC